CGGAGGGUGCAAGCGUUAUCCGGAUUUACUGGGUUUAAAGGGUGCGUAGGUGGGUUUGUAAGUCAGUGGUGAAAUCUCCGAGCUUAACUCGGAAACUGCCAUUGAUACUAUAGAUCUUGAAUUAUCUGGAGGUAAGCGGAAUAUGUCAUGUAGCGGUGAAAUGCUUAGAUAUGACAUAGAACACCAAUUGCGAAGGCAGCUUACUACGGAUAUAUUGACACUGAGGCACGAAAGCGUGGGGAUCAAACAGGAUU
rnacentral:rRNA from 1 species